UUUCACCCCGACAGCUGCAUUACCAAACUUCUUGUAAGGAACGCUUGUGUCACAUACUUAACUAGAUGAAUGCUCAGUUUCAUUUACUAGGAAACCGUAACUUAAGGGGAGUUAGGACUGCACUCACAGAAACACACAGACCAGCAGCAGACUAAUGCAGGAUGAUGAGGAUCUCAGGAAGAGUCACAAGUUGCGGUGUUGCUCUGUUCCUUGUCCUGACCUCUGUGUCAGCUGUACAAAGGCUCAACUCAAUCAAUGAUUUGAAGAGAAUCAACUUUGGCCAAUCUGUGCCCAAGCACAGUCUUCUGCUGCUCCACUGGUUUGCCAACGAGGUUGAUAUUGACAGAAACAAUGUCAUACGGUUGACCUUUGAUCCAGACAAUGAAGAUUAUGGUUCACAUCAUUAUAGCAACUAUGAGGGAUUGUUGGACCCACUGCCUAAUGGAAAUACACACCAGUACUACACUGUUGGCAAUCUCAAUCAAGGGACCUCUGUGCAACUUCCAAAUUAUGUCACCCAUUCUCGGAGAGAGUACGAAGGAGAAAACAUGGACCGGAUCAUAUUCAGAGUCAGGGAGCCGCACACAGGACAGCGAGUUCUGCAGAGGAUAGACCGAGUGUUUAUCACACAACAUUAUGAAUAUCAGGAAACAGAUUAUGAUCCAGAUCAUACCUACGAGAUCACUACUGACCUCUUAAUGCAGAUCAGACAGUUUUCAGUCUCUGUGGGAGAGGACCAGUCAUCACUUAUGCAUCUCAGAAACUGUUACAGAAGUAAUGCUGAUUUAUGGCGCAUCAGAAACACAUGGCGUGACCUUGCUUGUCUUGGACUGUUCUUGUUUAUUGUGCUCCAAGAAAAUCACACCUCUCAACAACGCAACAACAGACCUCAGAGUGCAGCAAAAGGAAACACACAACCAGAUUUUGUUGUCAAAAUCCCACAAGAGAAACAAAAUCACUGCCCUGACACUUGCUAUGCUUGCUGUGAGACCUGUCUUAUUGUUGUUCUUAUUUUAUUCAUUUCAUUAUAUGCCAUUGGCUUUUUUUUUAUCAAGUAGGGGAAUUAGAUAAUAAGAAAUGAGGGCAAAAAUGUUCCUAAAUAUUGUCUAAACAAAGUGUGAUGGUAACACUUUUCAGUGAUGAUGACCACCAGGAAGCCAGCAGGACUUUGAAGAUUAAUGUGAUUCAGGCAGUUAUGACACCUCAGUAAACCUGGACAAUGGCAAAUGGGUUGUUCUGUUGUUCUGCUGUAUGCAUUUAUUUUUUUUACUUCCAUGUUCAAUUGAUUGUGUACAAUUUUAGCUUAUUUUGUAAAUGUGGUUCACUUAAUAUUGACAUACAGGGUUAGUAUGGCAUGUUUGUGAUUAAAGACCAAAUACUGAAAAAUCAGUGUUUGCCAUGAAGGGCUCAGAGUCUUCAGGGUUUCAGUUCAGUCCAAUCAGUCAGUCAACUUUAUUUCAGACUAUAGCACCAUAAUAAAAUCUAUCAGUGAUCAGCACAUCUUCAUCACAGAGAAACAAAGAAGUUAUCAGUGAAUGAAGGCAGCAUUUGUUCUGAAUAAAAACCUGCAGAGUCUGACCUCAAUGGCACAGUUUAAGACAUCUACUGUAAAUAACAUUUGAAAGGGUCUUACCUGCCUGGAAAAUUUUAACACUAAAGAUCAAAAACAGGAUGGAAGUUUAAGUUUUAUUAAAAUAAAAAUUACAGUGUUUUUUUUAAAUAUUUUGUAUGUUGUUUUACAGGUUUUGUCUGUUUUGUCAAAUAAUUAUAUUUAGUAAAAUCAUGUGAAAAAGUGUUAAUUUAUGUGCCAAUCAUUAAAAAAUAGGGCAAAACUGUAAAUGAAAAAAAGUGGCAAUGGUUGUUGUAUGACAUUUAAUCAUAAAAUCAUAUAAUUUUUACCAUAUUUCAAUGUGUCAAAAUUAUUGACACAUUGUUUUUUGAUUCAAACUGCUCUAGCCAAACUUCCUGUAACUAGUAGCGACGCUUGUUUUGGUUUUACUUACAAGGAAACCGUAACCUAAGGCGAGUUAAGAGCGCUCUCACACAAACACAGAGAUCGUAUACCUAAGAGUAGCAGACUAACACAGGAUGAUGAGGAUGUCAGGAAGAGUCACAAGUUGCUGUGUUGCUCUGUUCCUUGUCCUGACCUCUGUGUCAGCUGUACAAAGGCUCAACUCAAUCAAUGAUUUGAAGAGAAUCAACUUUGGCCAAUCUGUGCCCAAGCACAGUCUUCUGGAAACGGUAACUUAAGGGGAGUUAAGAGUGUUCUCAAACAAACACAGAGAUCCUAUACCUAACAGCAGCAGACUUAUGCAGGAUGAUGAGGAUGUCAGGAAGAGUCACAAGUUGCUGUGUUGCUCUGUUCCUUGUCCUGACCUCUGUGUCAGCUGUACAAAGGCUCAACUCAAUCAAUGAUUUGAAGAGAAUCAACUUUGGCCAAUCUGUGCCCAAGCACAGUCUUCUGCUGCUCCACUGGUUUGCCAACGCAGUUCACAUCUACAAUGACAAUGUCAUACGGUUGACCUUUGAUCCAGACAAUGGAGAUUAUGGUUCACAUCAUUAUGGCAACUAUGAGGGACUGUUGGACCUGCUGCCUCACGGGUAUGUCAGAUACCAGUACUACACCAUUGGCAAUCUCAAUCAAGACACCUCUGUGCCACUUCCAUCUCAUGUCACCGACCCCCCGUCAGAGUAUGCAGGAUUAAACAGGGACCGGAUCAUAGUAAGAGUCAGGGAACCAAACAGAGGACAACGAGUUUUGCAGAGCAUAGACCGAGUGUUUAUCACACAGCAUUCUGGACAUCAGGGGACAGAUUAUGAUCCAGGUUAUACCUAUGAGAUCACUACUAAUCUCUUAAGACAGAUUAGAGAGUUUUCAGUCUCCAUGGGAGAAAACCACUGGUCACUUACAAAUCUCAGAGACCGUUACAGAAGUAACGCUGAUUUAAGGGAGAUCAGAAACACAUGGGGCGACCUUGCUUGUCUUGGACUAUUGUUGGCUAUUGUGAUCCAGCAAAGGUGCUACAACUAUAAACUUCAGAGUGCAGUGAGAAGAAACACACGACAAAAUCACUCGAAUACUGAUGAUUUCUGUACCUGUAUUGUUGUUUUCUUAAUUUUAUUGUCUUGUGUCAUUUUUGGUGCCAUUUUUUUUUUAUCAGGUUGGAAAUUUAGAUGACAAGAAAUGAUGGAGAGCAAGUAUCAAGCAGUUAUGACAUCUCAGUACACCUGGCCAAUGGCAUUGUUCUAUUGUUUUCUGUAUGCUUUUUUUGCUUCCAUGUUUAAUGAAUAGUGUACAAUACUAGCUUAUUUUGUAAAUGCUGUUCAGUUAAUAUUGAGAUAUAGGCUUAGUAUCACAUGUUUGUAAUUAAAGACCUAUAACUACUGCAGAGUGAUUUGACCUGGAAACGAAAGCUGAUUGUGCACUUCCCUACUGAAGACAGCAGCAAAAUGUUAGUGGGUUUUCUGUAUAGCGUGAAAGGGGUUAACAGCAAUGACUCACUGCUGAUUCAUCCUGUGUCUGAUAGAGAUGAAGAGAAUGUAAAUUGCCCUGAUGGAUAAAUGAAAUAGAAAUGAAAUGAUUUAGGGUCUGUUAUGGACUUCACUGAUAAUCUAUUAGAUAAAAAAUAAAAAUAAAAAAUGGGAAAUUAUUACGUAUUUUACAUAUGGUUUUGUGUUCACUCACUGAAAAUGGUGUGUUUAGGGUCCCAUACUGUAGAAAGUGAGAUUUCCAUGUUUCAUGUUUUUUGAUUAUAAAGCAGGUCUAGGUACCAUAGAAAUACAGUGAAAGUAUCAAAAUGCUCAAUCCACAGGGAAAUGCACGUGGCCUCUAGAAACGGUGUCUCUAAAGUGAGACAAUUUUGCUUUUUAUUUAUCUCUAUUAAGGACUCUUUGUGUUUUUAACGUAAUUCUUCUAUUGAUUGUUGGAUUACUUUUAUUUUGAUUACUUAAAGUUUUCCAUUUUAUCAAUUAUGAUGUAAAGUAAGCACUGAUGUAAAGUGUAGGUGUGUUUCAGCCUAUUCCUUUUUCGGUUAUGCAUUAUGAUACAAUUUGUGAGAAAUUAUCUUUUGUUCUUUGUUUUCAAGAUGCAUAUAACCAAAAUAAUAAAAAUACAUUCAAUUGUU